rnacentral:lncRNA from 1 species
UCUUCUGAGCAUCUGGUUAAACACGCAGGCACGCAGUCCGUCCCCUCCUGCCGAUGUAACCGCACACCACCCCCACAAGCACAACACACGCGGAACGACGCACUGCUCCUCUUCAGUCAACACCGCCGUCAAAGGUUGCCCCGCCGAGGCUAUGCCGGCGGAGGUGGCGCGGUCUGACGGUUUCAGACCCUCGAUGCCGGCAGACGAGGAGUUAU